UUCAAUGCAGCAGUCCUGAAAAUUGCUCAUUCUUUUCAUGACGGGAACUCGACUGAAGACUCAACGGUUAAUGAAGCUCAAUGGUUUCGAAAAAUAGCUUGGAAUUUGGCUGUGCAGUGCGACAAACACCCAGUGACAAUGAGAGAGUUUUUCAUCCUUUCUUACAAGCUGUCCCAGUUUUGUCCUUCUGAUCAAGUAAUUCUGAUUGCACAGAAAACAUGUUUACUUAUGGCAGCUGCAGUUGAUCUAGAGCAAGGGAGAAAAGCUUCAACAACUUCU